GAUGAACGCUGGCGGCGUGCCUAAUACAUGCGAGUCGAGCGAACAGACGAGGAGCUUGCUCCUCUGACGUUAGCGGCGGACGGGUGAGUAACACGUGGAUAACCUACCUAUAAGACUGGGAUAACUUCGGGAAACCGGAGCUAAUACCGGAUAAUAUAUUGAACCGCAUGGUUCAAUAGUGAAAGACGGUUUUGCUGUCACUUAUAGAUGGAUCCGCGCCGCAUUAGCUAGUAGGUAAGGUAACGGCUUACCAAGGCAACGAUGCGUAGCCGACCUGAGAGGGUGAUCGGCCACACUGGAACUGAGACACGGUCCAGACUCCUACGGGAGGCAGCAGUAGGGAAUCUUCCGCAAUGGGCGAAAGCCUGACGGAGCAACGCCGCGUGAGUGAUGAAGGUCUUCGGAUCGUAAAACUCUGUUAUUAGGGAAGAACAAAUGUGUAAGUAACUAUGCACGUCUUGACGGUACCUAAUCAGAAAGCCACGGCUAACUACGUG
rnacentral:rRNA from 1 species